GCACUGGGCAUUAAAUACAAACAGGGAAAGAAGAUAUAGAAAGGCUAUCCUUGCGUGCAUACUCAUAAUGCUGACGUUUACUGGCUGGAGGAAUACCUGGGUAACUCAGCGGUGUGCCUACAGCCACAGAACUUUUCUCAGUUCAGACACAAGCAACCACUCGUGUAGGAAUCAAAACACAACUCUCUAAUAGCCGCUACGUGCGACCACAGAAGCUCCCAUUCCUGCCAUCUUGAGUCAGAAUGAAAUAUCAGUAGCAACUGCUGAGAAAGGCCUCCUCUUGAAACCCUGCUGAACCACCUGUCAGUCAGAGCUGAUGGCAUCAGGAUGGAAAGAGGCUGAACUGGUUAAUGGACACAGAGGUUGAUCAGGUAGAAGGUGCAUUUCUCUGUGUGAAAUGUGGGUACCCUGAAAUAUUACGGAACUUCGAA